GCGAAUAUGCUGGAAUUGGCAGACAGGCACGUUUGAGGGGCGUGUGCAAUAUUGCGUAUGGGUUCAAGUCCCAUUAUUCGCA
rnacentral:tRNA from 1 species